CUGUUCGUCGCCAGCGCACGUGCGCGGAGUAGCGUCUCCCCAGCGAGACGCCGAUCUCUUGGCGGCCGCGCCCUAGCCGCCGCUCCUGGGGCGUUGCCACCUUCUCCGCCGGCCUCUUACUCCCCAACACUCUCUCGCUCCCCAACCCUAGCGCCUCGCGCUGACCGCCGCCGCCGCUCCCUCCCAGUGUCCGAGUCCGACCGCCGUGCUGCCUUAGGAGGUCGCACCUGCGCCGCCUCGGGGCGAUGGAGGCAUCCCCGUCCCGCGGCUUCGCUGCGCCGCCACCGGACUAAAUCCUAGCGGCGCCGUCUCCGCUCCCGCCCCAGCCAUGGCCGGCCGGUCCGGCGUCUCCUCCUCGCGCGGCGGCGUCGGGAUCGACCGCUUCUACAGCCCGCCCCACGUGCACUGCCAGCAGCAGGAGGAGCAGCUGCAGCGGCUCAAGGGCCAGCGCCCCUCGUCCCCCGCCGCUGUGGUGCUCACGCCCAGGGCCGCCAGGCAGCGGCCGCCCCCGCCGUCGGCGGCUGGGGCCGCGGAGCCGGCCGCCCCGCCUCCAGAAGAGGCCGAGAGGCGGGCUGACGCGUAGGGAAUCUGGAGAGGUUCCUCAGCUCCACGACGCCGUCCGUGCCCGUGCAGUACUUGCCCAAGUAGGAGCACGGAACGUGGUUGCCCUGUAGUUCAUGAUGGAUUACAGUAUUUCACCAUUGCUUCGGCAAAGAAUUGAAGAAUUUGAAAGUCUCAUAUUUGUAAGUGAGCUUGCAUCCUGAUGGCUUCCAUUGAACACUAGAUCAGCGGUUGAUGAAAUGGGGUGUGCACAUAGCCAUUCAGGACAAGAUAGGAUCAGAGCAGAUAUGGGACCUCAAGAGAUUUGGAGCAAACUUAAAAGGUUAAAGCUUCAGGUUACUAUCGUGCUCAAGAUGUUUAGGCAAAAAUUGAUGUACCGGCACUACUAAUUCCUGUGCUUGAAGAAACAUUUUCCGAUUUCAGGUUCUAGAGGGCUCCUGGGCUUGCCACUACGUACUGCAGAUGCAUACUAUGCAUGGCAAAUGAUGAUCAAGCCCUGUCCACAUGCCAACAGGUUCCCCUUUUUACUGCUCUAAUCUGAUUGAGUUAAUAUUACUUGCCAUGGUCAGAGUUAAUGUUAAUUGCCGUGGUUUGGUCAAGGUAUCAAUUGUUAUGUAAUUCGAACUAGACAACUAUGUCAUCACUUCUGAACGUAGAAAUGCCAAUGAUCAAGGCCAUGUCAAUGGUUCAGUGUAUUGGUUGCUUCUUCUUGAAUAUUUGUCCAAUUAUAAACAUUUUAGUUGAGUUUCAGAAGUUCAAAAACAUAAAA